AGAGUUUGAUCCUGGCUCAGGAUGAACGCUGGCGGCGUGCCUAAUACAUGCAAGUCGAGCGAACGGACGAGAAGCUUGCUUCUCUGAUGUUAGCGGCGGACGGGUGAGUAACACGUGGAUAACCUACCUAUAAGACUGGGAUAACUUCGGGAAACCGGAGCUAAUACCGGAUAAUAUUUUGAACCGCAUGGUUCAAAAGUGAAAGACGGUCUUGCUGUCACUUAUAGAUGGAUCCGCGCUGCAUUAGCUAGUUGGUAAGGUGACGGCUUACCAAGGCAACGAUGCAUAGCCGACCUGAGAGGGUGAUCGGCCACACUGGAACUGAGACACGGUCCAGACUCCUACGGGAGGCAGCAGUAGGGAAUCUUCCGCAAUGGGCGAAAGCCUGACGGAGCAACGCCGCGUGAGUGAUGAAGGGUUUCGGCUCGUAAAACUCUGUUAUUAGGGAAGAACAAAUGUGUAAGUAACUGUGCACAUCUUGACGGUACCUAAUCAGAAAGCCACGGCUAACUACGUGCCAGCAGCCGCGGUAAUACGUAGGUGGCAAGCGUUAUCCGGAAUUAUUGGGCGUAAAGCGCGCGUAGGCGGUUUUUUAAGUCUGAUGUGAAAGCCCACGGCUCAACCGUGGAGGGUCAUUGGAAACUGGAAAACUUGAGUGCAGAAGAGGAAAGUGGAAUUCCAUGUGUAGCGGUGAAAUGCGCAGAGAUAUGGAGGAACACCAGUGGCGAAGGCGACUUUCUGGUCUGUAACUGACGCUGAUGUGCGAAAGCGUGGGGAUCAAACAGGAUUAGAUACCCUGGUAGUCCACGCCGUAAACGAUGAGUGCUAAGUGUUAGGGGGUUUCCGCCCCUUAGUGCUGCAGCUAACGCAUUAAGCACUCCGCCUGGGGAGUACGACCGCAAGGUUGAAACUCAAAGGAAUUGACGGGGACCCGCACAAGCGGUGGAGCAUGUGGUUUAAUUCGAAGCAACGCGAAGAACCUUACCAAAUCUUGACAUCCUUUGA
rnacentral:rRNA from 1 species